GACGAACGCUGGCGGCGUGCCUAAUACAUGCAAGUCGAGCGGAAGUUGGAGAGCUUGCUCUUCAACUUUAGCGGCGGACGGGUGAGUAACACGUGGGCAACCUGCCCUGCAGAUCGGGAUAACUCCGGGAAACCGGUGCUAAUACCGAAUAGUUUUCGCCACCUCCUGGUGGCGUACGGAAAGACGGUUUCGGCUGUCACUGCAGGAUGGGCCCGCGGCGCAUUAGCUAGUUGGUGGGGUAACGGCCCACCAAGGCGACGAUGCGUAGCCGACCUGAGAGGGGGAUCGGCCACACUGGGACUGAGACACGGCCCAGACUCCUACGGGAGGCAGCAGUAGGGAAUCUUCCGCAAUGGACGAAAGUCUGACGGAGCAACGCCGCGUGAGUGACGAAGGUUUUCGGAUCGUAAAACUCUGUUGUGAGGGAAGAACAAGUACCACUUAACUACUGGUACCUUGACGGUACCUCACCAGAAAGCCACGGCUAACUACGUGCCAGCCGCCACCGUAACAC
rnacentral:rRNA from 1 species